AUCCAGCUGACGAGUCCCAAAUAGGACGAGGUGUCGCGCGUCCUGGAU
rfam:Schistosoma rodhaini strain Burundi genome assembly, scaffold: SROB_scaffold0007770